rnacentral:rRNA from 1 species
UACCAGCACCCCGAGUGGUCGGGACGUUUAUUGGGCCUAAAGCAUCCGUAGCCGGUUCUGCAAGUCUUCCGUUAAAUCCACCUGCUCAACAGAUGGGCUGCGGAAGAUACUAUGGAGCUAGGAGGCGGGAGAGGCAAGCGGUACUCGAUGGGUAGGGGUAAAAUCCGUUGAUCCAUUGAAGACCACCAGUGGCGAAGGCGGCUUGCCAGAACGCGCUCGACGGUGAGGGAUGAAAGCUGGGGGAGCAAACCGG